GUACCUCUGUGAAGCAGUGUUAAGUCCCAACAUGGUCAGGGAUAUUUCCUUUUUCUUCGAAUACGAUGACUGGGUCUUGAUUCAAAGGCACUGUUUGGGAGCAGCAUACCAGUGUGGUGUUGAGUCGUAUACCAAUCUGGCAACAUGUUGAUGUUUCCAUGCAGGAAUCCUCACAGCCAGGCUUCACAGCUCAGCAAGGGUCCUGUGCCAUCCCUGCCUGAAGAUCAUUUUGCAUUUUUUAGCUGGUAUCCAGCAUGUUGACUAAGAACAAGAGGGAUUUCUUUGAAAGAACAAUCAGGAUGCCCUAGCUCCUGGGGCCUUUUCCCAGCUCCCAAGCCUGGGAGGCAUUGCCACGGAUGGCCCAGCUCUUUGGUUGAAGGCCUAACUCCAGGAAUGGUGCCAUCAUUUCAGUGGUUAAUAACAAACAAAACAGAAAGAUAGACUGCAUGACUCAUGUACACUGCCACCUGCCGAGGCCUGGGAGCAAAGAUUUGGCAAGGACUAAGGAAGAGGACACAGAAUCUACUUUCUUUCCUCUUCUUUUUCUUUUACAGAAAGACUCUUUGUUUUUGCCAUUUUAUGCACAAGCUAAACAGAUUACAGUCAAGAAAAAUGGGGGCAGGCCCAGGUGUCUAGGAGAUGGGAGAGAAUUUGCAUUCCAAUUGUGGAACGUAUCAAAAGGCGAUUCUUUCUGCCUCAAUUGGAAGGUGCAGCUCAAUUUGGGGGCAAUUUCAACAAGACCAUACCUUUUAUCUCCAAUUCAAACUGGGGGCACUCCAAGGAUGCCCUGGGGAAUCCUGGAAGGAAAGAGCAGCACCUUUAUGAAGGCAGAUGUUUUCAUUUCCUCCCCUCUAGAUCCUUGAAGGUUGAAGGUUGAAAAACAUGAGGCUCAUUUUUUUUUCUGUUUUUGACUUCUAGUAUAUUCGAAAAUGGAGAAAUACCAUAAGUCAAUUGCAAAAUAAAUGAAUUUGAGUAUGUUAAAUGUUAACUCUUGUCAAAAUAACACAUUUCGUGUACCCACAUUGCAGUGAUUGUGUGUGUGACUUCAUUUAUGGAUAACGUCAAAAGUUUGCAUUUAAGGAACAGGAUGGAAAUGAGGCUCCCAGCAGAUGGUUCUUGUGCACCGCCCCCAGCCAGAUGGUUCUGACAAGAUGAUUCUCAGAGAGAAUGCUUCCUCCCUCCACCACUACAUAAAUUGCCCCCUGGCCAGGCAUGGUGGCUCAUGCCUGUAAUCCC
rnacentral:lncRNA from 1 species